rnacentral:rRNA from 1 species
CCUACGGGGUGCACCAGUGGGGAAUAUUGCACAAUGGGCGCAAGCCUGAUGCAGCCAUGCCGCGUGUAUGAAGAAGGCCUUCGGGUUGUAAAGUACUUUCAGCGGGGAGGAAGGCGAUAAGGUUAAUAACCUUGUCGAUUGACGUUACCCGCAGAAGAAGCACCGGCUAACUCCAUGCCAGCAGCCGCAGUAAUACGGAGGGUGCAAGCGUUAAUCGGAAUUACUGGGCGUAACGCGCACGCAGGCGGCCUGUCAAGUCGGAUGUGAAAUCCCCGGGCUCAACCUGGGAACUGCAUUCGAAACUGGCAGGCUGGAGUCUUGUAGAGGGGGGUAGAAUUCCAGGUGUAGCGGUGAAAUGCGUAGAGAUCUGGAGGAAUACCGGAGGCGAAGGCGGCCCCCUGGACAAAGACUGGCGCUCAGGUGCGAAAGCGUGGGGAGCAAACAGGAUUAGAUACCCGAGUAGUC